GCUAUCUCUUUGCAGCCGGGGAGGUGAUGAGAUUAGUGUUUGGGAUCGGGCUGGGUGAGGGAGGGUAAGAGGCGCCGGGGUCUGGGCCGUGGGAAACCCCUCGAUAUUGUUACAGCUCGAGUUGCAACAAUGUUGCAGAGUUCUAUUUUAGAAUGUGGGCCUUAAAGGGAUCGCGCGCUUUUGUCAGGGUAUCUCAGAAUGGAGCAUGUUGGGUUUUUUGAGGGGAUGGCAGGAGGGGGAGAAGGCUAUAAAUAAAUUUCUGGGGAAUUGAUUUAAUCCCCUCUGAAGGAGAGUGAUGUGGUUGACCACGUGUCAGGUUUGGGGUAAUGUGCUUUAGUAGGCUCAAAAUUAUAAGCAGACAUGCGGAUGUAAUUUGAGGCCGGGUUGGCAGCUAAGCGCCGAACCUUCCGAAAGGCAAUUUUCUUCGUGGGGUUUAAUUGACUGACCCUGGAUUGAGACUUGAUGAUGAUCAGUUGUAUGUCUUCAACCUGAGCAUCCAGACAGGUGGACUGAGGGAAGUGGAAUGAUUUCAUCAAAUGUAUGCUUUUGGAGUGGGAAAAGGGUUUUAAUUUUGCCAUUUCUAGGCAGAAUUUUCAGUCCUAAUAUCUGCAUUAGUUAUUGCAAAAUUGACGAAGGUGCUUACCAGGCUGCUGAACAAUGCUGUUCUUGUGGUUUGGGAAUGAUUCUCUUUACAAACUGGGAUGACAUAGUUAAUCCAUGUCACUUGUAAUUGACCUGGUUCAUAUUCACCUUGUGCAAAUUGUAGGUGCCAGCCUUCAUGCUGUCAGCUGUUCUAGACAAUCUGGAUUUUUUGCUGUGAUUUAUUGUAAAAGUACUGUCUCAAUAAAAAAAAAUUCACUUA